GAGAAUGUUAUCACGGGAGACACACGGCGGGUGCUAACGUCCGUCGUGAAGAGGGAAACAACCCAGACCGCCAGCUAAGGUCCCAAAGUCAUGGUUAAGUGGGAAACGAUGUGGGAAGGCCCAGACAGCCAGGAUGUUGGCUUAGAAGCAGCCAUCAUUUAAAGAAAGCGUAAUAGCUCACUGGUCGAGUCGGCCUGCGCGGAAGAUGUAACGGGGCUAAACCAUGCACCGAAGCUGCGGCAGCGAUGCUUAUGCGUUGUUGGGUAGGGGAGCGUUCUGUAAGCCUGCGAAGGUGUGCUGUGAGGCAUGCUGGAGGUAUCAGAAGUGCGAAUGCUGACAUAAGUAACGAUAAAGCGGGUGAAAAGCCCGCUCGCCGGAAGACCAAGGGUUCCUGUCCAACGUUAAUCGGGGCAGGGUGAGUCGACCCCUAAGGCGAGGCCGAAAGGCGUAGUCGAUGGGAAACAGGUUAAUAUUCCUGUACUUGGUGUUACUGCGAAGGGGGGACGGAGAAGGCUAUGUUGGCCGGGCGACGGUUGUCCCGGUUUAAGCGUGUAGGCUGGUUUUCCAGGCAAAUCCGGAAAAUCAAGGCUGAGGCGUGAUGACGAGGCACUACGGUGCUGAAGCAACAAAUGCCCUGCUUCCAGGAAAAGCCUCUAAGCAUCAGGUAACAUCAAAUCGUACCCCAAACCGACACAGGUGGUCAGGUAGAGAAUACCAAGGCGCUUGAGAGAACUCGGGUGAAGGAACUAGGCAAAAUGGUGCCGUAACUUCGGGAGAAGGCACGCUGAUAUGUAGGUGAAGUCCCUUGCGGAUGGAGCUGAAAUCAGUCGAAGAUACCAGCUGGCUGCAACUGUUUAUUAAAAACACAGCACUGUGCAAACACGAAAGUGGACGUAUACGGUGUGACGCCUGCCCGGUGCCGGAAGGUUAAUUGAUGGGGUCAGCGCAAGCGAAGCUCUUGAUCGAAGCCCCGGUAAACGGCGGCCGUAACUAUAACGGUCCUAAGGUAGCGAAAUUCCUUGUCGGGUAAGUUCCGACCUGCACGAAUGGCGUAAUGAUGGCCAGGCUGUCUCCACCCGAGACUCAGUGAAAUUGAACUCGCUGUGAAGAUGCAGUGUACCCGCGGCAAGACGGAAAGACCCCGUGAACCUUUACUAUAGCUUGACACUGAACAUUGAGCCUUGAUGUGUAGGAUAGGUGGGAGGCUUUGAAGUGUGGACGCCAGUCUGCAUGGAGCCGGCCUUGAAAUACCACCCUUUAAUGUUUGAUGUUCUAACGUGGACCCGUGAUCCGGGUUGCGGACAGUGUCUGGUGGGUAGUUUGACUGGGGCGGUCUCCUCCUAAAGAGUAACGGAGGAGCACGAAGGUUGGCUAAUCCUGGUCGGACAUCAGGAGGUUAGUGCAAUGGCAUAAGCCAGCUUGACUGCGAGCGUGACGGCGCGAGCAGGUGCGAAAGCAGGUCAUAGUGAUCCGGUGGUUCUGAAUGGAAGGGCCAUCGCUCAACGGAUAAAAGGUACUCCGGGGAUAACAGGCUGAUACCGCCCAAGAGUUCAUAUCGACGGCGGUGUUUGGCACCUCGAUGUCGGCUCAUCACAUCCUGGGGCUGAAGUAGGUCCCAAGGGUAUGGCUGUUCGCCAUUUAAAGUGGUACGCGAGCUGGGUUUAGAACGUCGUGAGACAGUUCGGUCCC
rnacentral:rRNA from 1 species